UUACGGUCAUGUCACGUUGAAACAACGGUUCUCGUACAAUCACCGAAGUUAAGCAACGUUAACCCUGAUCAGUACCUAGAUGGGUGACCGCUUGGGCAUACCAGGUUCUGUAA